rnacentral:rRNA from 1 species
GCUAUACAUGCAGUCGAGCGGACAGAUGGGAGCUUGCUCCCUGAUGUUAGCGGCGGACGGGUGAGUAACACGUGGGUAACCUGCCUGUAAGACUGGGAUAACUCCGGGAAACCGGGGCUAAUACCGGAUGGUUGUUUGAACCGCAUGGUUCAAACAUAAAAGGUGGCUUCGGCUACCACUUACAGAUGGACCCGCGGCGCAUUAGCUAGUUGGUGAGGUAACGGCUCACCAAGGCAACGAUGCGUAGCCGACCUGAGAGGGUGAUCGGCCACACUGGGACUGAGACACGGCCCAGACUCCUACGGGAGGCAGCAGUAGGGAAUCUUCCGCAAUGGACGAAAGUCUGACGGAGCAACGCCGCGUGAGUGAUGAAGGUUUUCGGAUCGUAAAGCUCUGUUGUUAGGGAAGAACAAGUACCGUUCGAAUAGGGCGGUACCUUGACGGUACCUAACCAGAAAGCCACGGCUAACUACGUGCCAGCAGCCGCGGUAAUACGUAGGUGGCAAGCGUUGUCCGGAAUUAUUGGGCGUAAAGGGCUCGCAGGCGGUUUCUUAAGUCUGAUGUGAAAGCCCCCGGCUCAACCGGGGAGGGUCAUUGGAAACUGGGGAACUUGAGUGCAGAAGAGGAGAGUGGAAUUCCACGUGUAGCGGUGAAAUGCGUAGAGAUGUGGAGGAACACCAGUGGCGAAGGCGACUCUCUGGUCUGUAACUGACGCUGAGGAGCGAAAGCGUGGGGAGCGAACAGGAUUAGAUACCCUGGUAGUCCACGCCGUAAACGAUGAGUGCUAAGUGUUAGGGGGUUUCCGCCCCUUAGUGCUGCAGCUAACGCAUUAAGCACUCCGCCUGGGGAGUACGGUCGCAAGACUGAAACUCAAAGGAAUUGACGGGGGCCCGCACAAGCGGUGGAGCAUGUGGUUUAAUUCGAAGC